rnacentral:rRNA from 1 species
GCUUGCACCUUUCAAGUGAGUGGCGAACGGGUGAGUAACACGUGGACAACCUGCCUCAAGGCUGGGGAUAACAUUUGGAAACAGAUGCUAAUACCGAAUAAAACUUAGUGUCGCAUGACAAAAAGUUAAAAGGCGCUUCGGCGUCACCUAGAGAUGGAUCCGCGGUGCAUUAGUUAGUUGGUGGGGUAAAGGCCUACCAAGACAAUGAUGCAUAGCCGAGUUGAGAGACUGAUCGGCCACAUUGGGACUGAGACACGGCCCAAACUCCUACGGGAGGCUGCAGUAGGGAAUCUUCCACAAUGGGCGAAAGCCUGAUGGAGCAACGCCGCGUGUGUGAUGAAGGCUUUCGGGUCGUAAAGCACUGUUGUAUGGGAAGAACAGCUAGAAUAGGAAAUGAUUUUAGUUUGACGGUACCAUACCAGAAAGGGACGGCUAAAUACGUGCCAGCAGCCGCGGUAAUACGUAUGUCCCGAGCGUUAUCCGGAUUUAUUGGGCGUAAAGCGAGCGCAGACGGUUUAUUAAGUCUGAUGUGAAAGCCCGGAGCUCAACUCCGGAAUGGCAUUGGAAACUGGUUAACUUGAGUGCAGUAGAGGUAAGUGGAACUCCAUGUGUAGCGGUGGAAUGCGUAGAUAUAUGGAAGAACACCAGUGGCGAAGGCGGCUUACUGGACUGCAACUGACGUUGAGGCUCGAAAGUGUGGGUAGCAAACAGGAUUAGAUACCCUGGUAGUCCACACCGUAAACGAUGAACACUAGGUGUUUAGGAGGUUUCCGCCUCUUAGUGCCGAAGCUAACGC